CAUGCAAGUCGAGGGGCAGCGGGGAGGUAGCAAUACCUUUGCCGGCGACCGGCGCACGGGUGAGUAACACGUAUGCAAUCCACCUGUAACAGGGGGAUAACCCGGAGAAAUCCGGACUAAUACCCCAUAAUAUGGGCGCUCCGCAUGGAGAGUUCAUUAAAGAGAGCAAUUUUGGUUACAGACGAGCAUGCGCUCCAUUAGCCAGUUGGCGGGGUAACGGCCCACCAAAGCGACGAUGGAUAGGGGUUCUGAGAGGAAGGUCCCCCACAUUGGAACUGAGACACGGUCCAAACUCCUACGGGAGGCAGCAGUGAGGAAUAUUGGUCAAUGGUCGGCAGACUGAACCAGCCAAGUCGCGUGAGGGAAGACGGCCCUACGGGUUGUAAACCUCUUUUGUCGGAGAGUAAAGUACGCUACGCGUAGCGUAUUGCAAGUAUCCGAAGAAAAAGCAUCGGCUAACUCCGUGCCAGCAGCCGCGGUAAUACGGAGGAUGCGAGCGUUAUCCGGAUUUAUUGGGUUUAAAGGGUGCGUAGGCGGCACGCCAAGUCAGCGGUGAAAUUUCCGGGCUCAACCCGGAGUGUGCCGUUGAAACUGGCGAGCUAGAGUGCACAAGAGGCAGGCGGAAUGCGUGGUGUAGCGGUGAAAUGCAUAGAUAUCACGCAGAACCCCGAUUGCGAAGGCAGCCUGCUAGGGUGCGACAGACGCUGAGGCACGAAAGCGUGGGUAUCGAACAGGAUUAGAUACCCUGGUAGUCCACGCAGUAAACGAUGAAUACUAACUGUUUGCGAUACAAUGUAAGCGGUACAGCGAAAGCGUUAAGUAUUCCACCUGGGGAGUACGCCGGCAACGGUGAAACUCAAAGGAAUUGACGGGGGCCCGCACAAGCGGAGGAACAUGUGG
rnacentral:rRNA from 1 species